rnacentral:lncRNA from 1 species
GUUGGUCUAUGGAUGGAGAAGCCUGGUAGGCUGCAGUCCUGGGUCGCACAGUCGGACACGACUGAAGCGACUUAGCAGCGGCAGCAGCAGCAUAGUAAGUAAUGGCUUUGAUGAGACACAUACACACAGAUGCUUCCUGUGGCAUUUAGAGUAACACAAACUUGCCUUGAGCUGACAGUUGUAUUUUUAUACUGUGACGUGGGCCAUAUAUUCAGGACCGUGGAGACAGAUAAGAAUUCUGAAGUUCCCUCGUGAUUACCCUUCGAAAGGAAGCCUUUGUUUAGCUCGUGGCAGUAUUCACAGGACAAUGGACUGCCAGUGAUAUAUGCAAGUCUGUCCUUUCUCAACGUCACUAGCUCAGCUUCUCUCUCUCUCCCGCUCUGGCCUCACUCAAUGGAAAACAGCUGGCCAAUCUCCUUCUCUGCCUUGAAGGUGGUUAUUGAAGUGCUUUCGCAUUUUCCCUCUGCAGCCUGUAGCACUGUCACUUACUGGGCAUCUGAGGUUCCGUGUCAGCAUGAAAACUCAUUACCUGCCUGCCUGGUUCUGCUGGCUCAGCUCCUUCUUGGAAGCAGGUGGCAUUUCCAUAAUGAAUAUAUUAAAAAGAAAGAAAACAUUCCUGGUUUGUUGUUAGACUGGUUUCUUAUUAGACACCCAGUCCUCAUUCGAGAUUAUGAAACAUGCUAUUAUCCAAGUUUUGACAGAAUUUUGCUAGAGGGCCACCACAGUGUUGACCUUGGUUGAUGGGUUUGACCUUUGCUAAGUGGGAUUCCUCAGUGGCUGCUGGAAGCUCUGAGAAUGGGACCAUCUGGAAAUGAGAAGAAUCGUCUGAUUUAAGCCACAGACAACAACUUAGAUUUGGGGAUUUAUGUCAUUUUCUCUUUGUGACUUUGCCUGUAUUCACAAUUUAAUGAGCUGGACAUCUUUUUUUUUUCCCUUAUACUUUUAAAACAUUUUCAUUGCUCUUCAAAACAUUUUGGAAAGUUUUCAUUAUUUAGCCUUUAAAUUUAGUAAAGCAUCUAAGGUUAACUUAGUUACAACAACCAAGAAGCGAAGAAUUAUUCUCACUUACCAACACCAUCCUUCUGACUUCUCAAGAUGAAAACAUCCCCAUCAACAUGCUUUAUCCAAAUUUCUACUCCAAUAAAGCUUUUUUUUCUUUCUGAGUUGCAUCAUAGAUCCUCUAAAGAACCCCUGACAGAGGGUCUGUGUACAUUUUACCUGUAGAGAAAAAUCAGACUGGAAAUCAGACUGGAAGCCAUUAGACAAAAGGAAGUUUUCAGGAGGACUUGAGCAAGGAGCUAGGUGAUGAUGAGGCAAAGUGAAGGUGAAGAAAACACGUCUAACAUGUUAUCACGAUGCCUUCAGAUAAAAUUCUCAUCCCAGCAGAAAACCCAUCAGAGCCGUGUGGACACCAGGUCUUGCAAAAGGUGUUUUUCUGUUGUUGCAGGUGAGAGUCUGUCAUGCCAUCUUGGGAGGAAAUUCUCAUAGAUUGGGGUGAAGAGUCAGUCUCCUUCCUCACCUUUGUUUCCCUUCCUUCCCCAGAGCCUGGGCUCUGAGGCAGGUACCAGCUCCAUACACUUAUAACCCUCUCAUCACU